UACGUAGGGGGGCUAGCGUUGUCCGGAAUCAUUGGGCGUAAAGCGCGCGUAGGCGGCCAGAUAAGUCCGGUGUGAAAGUCACAGGCUCAACCUGUGAAUGCCGCUGGAAACUGUCUGGCUAGAGUCCGGAAGGGGCGAGUGGAAUUCCUGGUGUAGCGGUGAAAUGCGCAGAUAUCAGGAGGAACACCAAUUGCGAAGGCAGCUCGCUGGGACGUAACUGACGCUGAGACGCGAAAGCGUGGGGAGCAAACAGA
rnacentral:rRNA from 1 species